rnacentral:rRNA from 1 species
UACGGGGGGGGCAAGCGUUGUUCGGAAUUACUGGGCGUAAAGGGCUCGUAGGCGGCUUGUCGCGUCGGAUGUGAAAGCCCGGGGCUUAACUCCGGGUCUGCAUUCGAUACGGGCAGGCUAGAGUUCGGUAGGGGAGAUCGGAAUUCCUGGUGUAGCGGUGAAAUGCGCAGAUAUCAGGAGGAACACCGGUGGCGAAGGCGGAUCUCUGGGCCGAUACUGACGCUGAGGAGCGAAAGCGUGGGGAGCGAACAGG